rnacentral:rRNA from 1 species
AACGAACGCUGGCGGCAUGCCUAACACAUGCAAGUCGAACGAGACCUUCGGGUCUAGUGGCGCACGGGUGCGUAACGCGUGGGAACCUGCCCUUAGGUUCGGAAUAACUCCCCGAAAGGGGUGCUAAUACCGGAUAAUGUCUUCGGACCAAAGAUUUAUCGCCUUUGGAUGGGCCCGCGUUGGAUUAGCUAGUUGGUAGGGUAAAAGCCUACCAAGGCGACGAUCCAUAGCUGGUCUGAGAGGAUGAUAAGCCACACUGGGACUGAGACACGGCCCAGACUCCUACGGGAGGCAGCAGUGGGGAAUAUUGGACAAUGGGCGAAAGCCUGAUCCAGCAAUGCCGCGUGAGUGAUGAAAGCCUUAGGGUUGUAAAGCUCUUUUACCCGGGAUGAUAAUGACAGUACCGGGAGAAUAAGCUCCGGCUAACUCCGUG